UCCCCGUUCUCCUGGGCAGUCUCUCCAGAGUGCCCGGCAUGACCCGACGGCAACUGAAGACAGGGGUUACGCUCGUUGCGGGACUUAACCCAACACCUCACGGCACGAGCUGACGACAGCCAUGCGCCACCUGUAUACCGACCACAAGGGGGGCCGUAUCCCUACGGCUUUCCGGUAUAUGUCAAACCCAGGUAAGGUUCUUCGCGUUGCAUCGAAUUAAUCCACAUGCUCCGCCGCUUGUGCGGGCCCCCGUCAAUUCCUUUGAGUUUUAGCCUUGCGGCCGUACUCCCCAGGCGGGGCGCUUAAUGCGUUAGCUACGGCACGGAUCCUUAGGAAAGAACCCACACCUAGUACCCACCGUUUACGGCGUGGACUAC
rnacentral:misc_RNA from 1 species